GACGAACGCUGGCGGCGUGCUUAACACAUGCAAGUCGAACGGAAAGGCCCUGCUUUUGUGGGGUGCUCGAGUGGCGAACGGGUGAGUAACACGUGAGUAACCUGCCCUUGACUUUGGGAUAACUUCAGGAAACUGGGGCUAAUACCGGAUAGGAGCUCCUGCUGCAUGGUGGGGGUUGGAAAGUUUCGGCGGUUGGGGAUGGACUCGCGGCUUAUCAGCUUGUUGGUGGGGUAGUGGCUUACCAAGGCUUUGACGGGUAGCCGGCCUGAGAGGGUGACCGGCCACAUUGGGACUGAGAUACGGCCCAGACUCCUACGGGAGGCAGCAGUGGGGAAUAUUGCACAAUGGGCGGAAGCCUGAUGCAGCAACGCCGCGUGCGGGAUGACGGCCUUCGGGUUGUAAACCGCUUUCGCCUGUGACGAAGCGUGAGUGACGGUAAUGGGUAAAGAAGCACCGGCUAACUACGUGCCAGCAGCCGCGGUGAUACGUAGGGUGCGAGCGUUGUCCGGAUUUAUUGGGCGUAAGGGGCUCGUAGGUGGUUGAUCGCGUCGGAAGUGUAAUCUUGGGGCUUAACCCUGAGCGUGCUUUCGAUACGGGUUGACUUGAGGAAGGUAGGGGAGAAUGGAAUUCCUGGUGGAGCGGUGGAAUGCGCAGAUAUCAGGAGGAACACCAGUGGCGAAGGCGGUUCUCUGGGCCUUUCCUGACGCUGAGGUGCGAAAGCGUGGGGAGCGAACAGGCUUAGAUACCCUGGUAGUCCACGCUGUAAACGGUGGGUACUAGGUGUGGGGUCCAUUCCACGGGUUCCGUGCCGUAGCUAACGCUUUAAGUACCCCGCCUGGGGAGUACGGCCGCAAGGCUAAAACUCAAAGGAAUUGACGGGGCCCCGCACAAGCGGCGGAGCAUGCGGAUUAAUUCGAUGCAACGCGUAGAACCUUACCUGGGUUUGACAUGGAUCGGGAGUGCUCAGAGAUGGGUGUGCCUCUUUUGGGGUCGGUUCACAGGUGGUGCAUGCCUGUCGUCAGCCCGUGUCGUGAGAUGUUGGGUUAAGUCCCGCAACGAGCGCAACCCUUGUUCACUGUUGCCAGCACGUUAUGGUGGGGACUCAGUGGAGACCGCCGGGGUCAACUCGGAGGAGGGUGGGGAUGACGUCAAGUCCUCAUGCCCCUUAUGUCCAGGGCUUCACGCAUGCUACAAUGGCUGGUACAGAGAGUGGCGAGCCUGUGAGGGUGAGCGAAUCUCGGAAAGCCGGUCUCAGUUCGGAUUGGGGUCUGCAACUCGACCUCAUGAAGUCGGAGUCGCUAGUAAUCGCAGAUCAGCAACGCUGCGGUGAAUACGUUCCCGGGGCU
rnacentral:rRNA from 1 species